GAGGAGAACCGUCGCAUGUAGUGUUACCAAACGACGAGGGAACAUAUAUGCUUUUGGGCUAUUUGUAUCCCUAAUAUUCAAUCUCUGUAAUAUGUUGGAAAGCAUUGAUAGUAGAAAGUAUUGAAAUAAGAUGCCAAGACUCAAGAUUUUGAUUUGAAAGUUGGUUUUACAUAAUGGAA